rnacentral:rRNA from 1 species
GAUGAACGCUGGCGGCGUGCCUAAUACAUGCAAGUCGAGCGAACAGACGAGGCGCUUGCUCCUCUGACGAUAGCGGCAGACGUGUGAGUAACACGAGGAUAACCUACCUAUAAGUCUGGUAUAUCUUCGGGACACCGGAUCUAAUCCCAUAUGAUAUACUGAUGCGCAUGGUUCAAUAGUGAAAGACGGUUUUGCUGUCACUUCUAGAUGGAUCCCCGCCGCAUUGGCUAGUUGGUAAGGUAAUGGCUUACCAAGGCAACGAUGCGUAGCCGAACUGAGUGAGGGAUCGGCCACACUAGAACUGGACCGAGGUCAAGAGGCCUGAGGGAGGCAGCAGUAGGGAACGUUCGGCAGUGGGCGAAAGCCUGACGGAGCAACGGCGAGUGAGUGAUGAAGGUCUUCGGUGCGUGAAGCUCUGUUAUUAGGGGUGAACAAAUGUGUAAGUAGAUAUAGACUUCUUGACGGUACUGAAUAAGGAAGCCACGGCUAACUACGUG